CACAAUUCGAUGUCACCCCCUCCCUGACUAGCAUGUGGGCUCCCCAGGUUGGAGCCCCUUUCCCUCUCCCCUGCAUGUCCAUCGCAGGCUUCAAUGUGUCUGGCAGGCAGGAAAAUUGAAGUGCGAAUUUGAGUGACCGUCUGUACGUCCAAAAUGGAAAAUGGCAUUCAUCAGACUACUUCUUUCUCUUAUUUCAUGUGUAACUCCUUAACAGAAAACAACUGCUGCACACGGAGGGCCUUAUCAGACACAGGACAGGGACCACAGUAUUAGCACUCAAGUGCUCAUAGCCUUUCCCCCACCAAGCCCAUCCAUUCUGUGCACUGUUGGCCCCAGGGGAGACAAGGUAAUUUUCUCCCUUCCUGGUCAUCUUGGGGCCCAGACCACCAGCUGGAGAAAUGAUGCAGAGAGAGCAAGCACCCAGUGGGUGGGAUACACAUGGAGUUACCAUGUCCCCAUCAUAAGGACUAUUGGAGCAAAAUGAGAAAGCCAGCUUGCAGAUGAGAAAGCUGAAAUACUGCAAGUUGAAAUGACUCGUCCUAGAUCCCAGGUCUAGUGAAGAGUGAGCACCAGAAAUCACAUGUACUAGACUACCAGCAGUCAGAUAUAAUCAGCCCCCAAAUCUCCUGUGGUUCACUAUAUAUAAAAGAAAAAAAAAAAACAAGGAAUAUCCAACCAAAACAAGGUAAAUACACAGGAGGGUUCACUGGGCAAGAACAGAUGCAAACCAGAGAGAUUUUGAAGAGCCUGGGGUCUCUAGACAAUUCGGCACUGCUGUGGAUUUCAUGUUUGUAUCCCCUCUAAAUACAUAUGUUGAAGCCCGAGCCCCCAGUGUGAUGGUAUUUGGAGAUGGGGCCUUCGGGAGGUGAUAAGGUCAUUAAAGUGGAGCCCUCAUGAAUGACAUUAGUGCCUUACAAGAAGAAGCAGGAGACAGCUUGCUUCCUC
rnacentral:lncRNA from 10 species